GAGUUUGAUCAUGGCUCAGAUUGAACGCUGGCGGCAGUGCCUUACACAGUGCAAGUCGAACGGCAGCACGGGAGCUUGCUCCUGGUGGCGAGUGGCGAACGGGUGAGUAAUGCAUCGGAACGUAUCCUGGAGUGGGGGAUAACGUAGCGAAAGUUACGCUAAUACCGCAUAUUCUGUGAGCAGGAAAGCGGGGGACCUUCGGGCCUCGCGCUCUUGGAGCGGCCGAUGUCGGAUUAGCUAGUUGGUGAGGUAAAGGCUCACCAAGGCGACGAUCCGUAGCAGGUCUGAGAGGAUGAUCUGCCACACUGGAACUGAGACACGGUCCAGACUCCUACGGAGGCAGCAGUGGGGAAUUUUGGACAAUGGGGCAACCCUGAUCCAGCCAUGCCGCGUGAGUGAAGAAGGCCUCGG
rnacentral:rRNA from 1 species